GAGGGGAGUGAAAUAGAACCUGAAACCCUGCACUUACAAGCUGUGGAAGCACAUUUCUUGUGUGACCGCGUACUUUUUGUAGAACGGGCCAACGAGUUACGUUAAGUAGCAAGGUUAAGCACUUAGGGUUUGGAGCGGAACGAAAGCCGGGUUUUACUGAGGGGUCAGGUACGUGACGGUGACCCCGAACCUGGCG
rnacentral:rRNA from 1 species